UACAGAGGGGGCAAGCGUUAUUCGGAAUUAUUGGGCGUAAAGGGCUCGUAGGCGGCCAACUAAGUCAGACGUGAAAUCCCUCAGCUUAACUGGGGAACUGCGUCUGAUACUGGAUGGCUUGGAUUCGGGAGAGGAAUGCGGAAUUCCAGGUGUAGCGGUGAAAUGCGUAGAUAUCUGGAGGAACACCGGUGGCGAAGGCGGCAUUCUGGACCGACAUUGACGCUGAGGAGCGAAAGCCAGGGGAGCAAACGGG
rnacentral:rRNA from 1 species